rnacentral:lncRNA from 1 species
CCUCGGCGGCGGCGGCGGCGGCAGAAGCGGCAGCGCUCGCCAUUGCCGCUGGUGGCAGGAGGCUGCGAGGAGCCGGCGCGGUCGCAGUCUCCACGGCGCAGGCCCACGGUAGCGCAGCCGCUCUGAGUUCCUGGUCCAGAACUUUACACAGAAAAGGUGCUCAAAGGAUAUUUGUUUAAUGAAUGUGGUACGCUGACAUUUAAACAGGACAAAACUUGGUGCCUUUGAACUCUUGUGCACUUUUUAGUUAGAUCUUUAUUAACAUGCUAUGCCACUGCAGGGAGGGAGCAGGAA